AGCAGUCGCCGCGGGAAUACGUAGGUGGCAAGCGUUGUCCGGAAUUAUUGGGCGUAAAGGGCUCGCAGGCGGUUUCUUAAGUCUGAUGUGAAAGCCCCCGGCUCAACCGGGGAGGGUCAUUGGAAACUGGGAAACUUGAGUGCAGAAGAGGAGAGUGGAAUUCCACGUGUAGCGGUGAAAUGCGUUGAGAUCGGAAAGAACACCAACGGCGAAAGCACUCUGCUGGGCCGACACUGACACUGAGAGACGAAAGCUAGGGGAGCAAAUGGGAUUAGAUACCCCUGUAGUCCCUGUCUCUUAUAC
rnacentral:rRNA from 1 species